rnacentral:rRNA from 1 species
AGUGAACGCUGGCGGUAGGCCUAACACAUGCAAGUCGAACGGCAGCACAGUAAGAGCUUGCUCUUACGGGUGGCGAGUGGCGGACGGGUGAGGAAUACAUCGGAACCUACUUUUUCGUGGGGGAUAACGUAGGGAAACUUACGCUAAUACCGCAUACGACCUACGGGUGAAAGCAGGGGAUCUUCGGACCUUGCGCGAUUGAAUGAGCCGAUGUCGGAUUAGCUAGUUGGCGGGGUAAAGGCCCACCAAGGCGACGAUCCGUAGCUGGUCUGAGAGGAUGAUCAGCCACACUGGAACUGAGACACGGUCCAGACUCCUACGGGAGGCAGCAGUGGGGAAUAUUGGACAAUGGGCGCAAGCCUGAGCCAGCCAUACCGCGUGGGUGAAGAAGGCCUUCGGGUUGUAAAGCCCUUUUGUUGGGAAAGAAAAGCAGCAGGUUAAUACCCCGCUGUUCUGACGGUACCCAAAGAAUAAGCACCGGCUAACUUCGUG